rnacentral:rRNA from 1 species
CCUACGGGAGGCAGCAGUGGGGAAUAUUGCACAAUGGGGGAAACCCUGAUGCAGCGACGCCGCGUGAGUGAAGAAGUAAUUCGUUAUGUAAAGCUCUAUCAGCAGGGAAGAAAAUGACGGUACCUGAGUAAGAAGCCCCGGCUAACUACGGGCCAGCAGCCGCGGUCAUACGUAGGGGGCAAGCGUUAUCCGGAUUUACUGGGUGUAAAGGGAGCGUAGACGGCAGUGCAAGUCUGGAGUGAAAGGCGGGGGCUCAACCCCCGGACUGCUCUGGAAACUGUACGGCUGGAGUGCAGGAGAGGUAAGUGGAAUGCCUAGUGUAGCGGUGAAAUGCGUAGAUAUUAGGAGGAACACCAGUGGCGAAGGCGGCUUACUGGACUGUAACUGACGUUGAGGCUCGAAAGCGUGGGGAGCAAACAGGAUUAGAUACCCUAGUAGUC